UUUUUAUUGUAGAACUGUUUUUUGGGUUGUUCUUGUGUGACGUGGCAUUGUCACCGAGUCCACAAGCGAACAUUAUCACACAACAAUGAACAUGACUUCGUCUUCUUCUUCAUCUGGUUCUUCUCUUCCACGACUCUGCUUCACCAAAUCCCAAACCUACAAGUCUCCUCUUUUACCAUUCUCCACUCCAAAACGCCGUCGUUCUCGUCCUCGCCGGAACCGUAAAUCCAAUGGCUCAUCUUACGACAACACCGACGGCAAUCUCCUCACACUCACCACUUCAUCUCCCGCCGGAAACGAAGACCAAAGCCUCAGCUUAACCCUAGACAUUCACCAGAUUUCAAAACUAGCUAAUUCCAGAUUCCAAUUGUUUCUCGAUUCAAGCAAAGACGCGUUCUCCGACUUGCAAACACUAAUCGCGCUUGACGAUAACCGGAGAGUCGUCGUUUCUUGCAAGAAAUCAACUAUGCAGUUCGUCGGCGGUGUGGUUAUGAUUGGAUUCGUGUUCGGUUUUGCAAUUAGGGUUCUUUUGAAAUUAGGAUCAGUCUUAAAGGGUAAUUUCCAAAGUAAUCCUAAAUUAGUUGUUAGGAGAGAUAGGAGUCUUGGUGGGAAGGAAGUGGUUGUCUCUGUUGAUAGUAUUCGUUCAUCUUCACGGGCUUCGAAUAGCUCAAUAGGUAGUGAACUCGAUGAGUGGCAAAUUUGAUAGUGUUUUGAUGAUGUUUAGCUAAAAUUUCCUGUAAUUUGGAUCUGUUUGAAUGUCUAUUCAACAUAUGCUGAGAAUUUGAUGUUGUUUCUUGUUUGUAUCCAUGAACAACAUCUGCUGAGAAUGUGUUCUUUAGAGUCCGUGAUGUUUGAUCCAUGUCUAUGUUUCGCUAUUUUGAGUGCUAAUGUUAUCGAUAGGUUGGAUUAGUGGAAGUGAGAUGUAAAGCACUAGACUUGCCCUUCUCUGCUCAGUUUCUACUGAGAUUCUACUUAUGCUUGUGCAAUGACUGCACUAUGAUCAUGUGUAGCUAACAGAAGGGAUCAGACCAUUCACAAUGCCGCUAAUGAGACUAGCAUGUACUGCACUUGGAAGGUAGUUUAUAUACGAAAUAAUGGAGCUUGAGUAGCUGAGUCAAUCCUAAGUUAGGAUGUUGGUGACAUUGUAUGUUGUGAUAGUCAUUGAAAGAAGUUUUAGUUUUAGAGUGUGUUUGAGCUAAUGUGUUCAUUUUCUCUCUCAAGUCGUCAUGUUGGGACUCCUCUGCACCAUGCUGCAAAAAGAGGUCUUGAGAACACUGUUAAGCUACUUCUUUCGCACGGUGGUAAAUGUGCAUCUACCGCAUUUGCAAGUUCAACAAAGAUCUGGAGCUCUUGGAGGCAGAGGCGAGGAAGAGAUCCAAGGAAGAGUAAAGGUUUUCUUUUAACUGCAUUUUUUACAUUCAAAUAUUACUGAACCGGAACGAAAUUUUGUUAAACAAACCUCAAGUAUGCUUCUCAACAACAUUUUGAUUAUGAAGCUAAGUUUGCAAAAAUAUAGAUACUUGUAAAUG